rnacentral:piRNA from 1 species
UCCUUGCAGAGUUGCCGUCUACG